rnacentral:rRNA from 1 species
UACGAAGGGGGCUAGCGUUGUUCGGAAUCACUGGGCGUAAGGCGCACGUAGGCGGAUCGUUAAGUCGGGGGUGAAAUCCCGAGGCUCAACCUCGGAACUGCCUUCGAUACUGGCGAUCUUUGAGUCCGGGAGAGGUGAGUGGAACUCCGAGUGUAGAGGUGAAAUUCGUAGAUAUUCGGAAGAACACCAGUGGCGAAGGCGGCUCACUGGCCCGGUACUGACGCUGAGGUGCGAAAGCGUGGGGAGCAAACAGG